rnacentral:rRNA from 1 species
CCUACGGGUGGCAGCAGUGAGGAAUAUUGGUCAAUGGUCGGGAGACUGAACCAGCCAAGCCGCGUGAGGGAGGAAGGUACAGAGUAUCGUAAACCUCUUUUGUCAGGGAACAAAGACUGGGACGCGUCCCCGGAUGAGUGUACCUGAAGAAAAAGCAUCGGCUAACUCCGUGCCAGCAGCCGCGGUAAUACGGAGGAUGCGAGCGUUAUCCGGAUUUAUUGGGUUUAAAGGGUGCGCAGGCGGCCUAUUAAGUCAGCGGCCAAACCCCGGGGCUCAACCCCGGCCCGCCGUUGAAACUGGCAGUCUCGAGUUGGAGAGAAGUAUGCGGAAUGCGCGGUGUAGCGGUGAAAUGCAUAGAUAUCGCGCAGAACUCCGAUUGCGAAGGCAGCAUGCCGGCUCCACACUGACGCUGAGGCACGAAAGCGUGGGUAUCGAACAGGAUUAGAUACCCCAGUAGUC